rnacentral:rRNA from 1 species
AGAGAUGCAUUGGGUGUAAAGUGUGCGCAGGCGGUUUUGUAAGACAGAGGUGAAACUCCCCGGGCUCAACCGUGGGAACUGCCUUUGUGACUGCAAGGCUGGAGUGCGGCAGAGGGGGAUGGAAUUCCGCGUGUAGCAGUGAAAUGCGUAGAUAUGCGGAGGAACACCGAUGGCGAAGGCAAUCCCCUGGGCCUGCACUGACGCUCAUGCACGAAAGCGUGGGGAGCAAACA